GAGACCUACAAGCUGACAGUACAAAUAAGUGUCUUCUCAAGCAGUGCUAUGACUUCAGCUUCCUCCUAUGUUCAGAGCAUGACAUGCCGCUAUUCUCCAUGGGCAGAGAGGGAGAUUCUGUGUGAAAGAAACUACAUGGAGGCAACUGCUGCUGACAACAGCAUCUGGAAAAUUUGUGUUCCCUCUCCCAGCAAAUAGAAAGGCUAUGACUGUUGCUCAGGCCAUGACAAAUGGCUAUGGCAUAAAACUACACCAACUCGAAUGCUGGUUAGAGCUGCAUACAACUCCACAGAGCCAGCCUCAGGUGAUCCAAACUAUACCAAUGGUUGUGCUAAGAUCAACCACCUUUUAUAAGCAAAGAUGGAUGGUCAUGAUGGUGGACACUGCAGUUACAUGUUCCUCUGGUGAGGAAGCUUAUGGAGGGUAACAGUGCUCAAGAACUGUAAGUAUGAAUUUUCUGUACCAAGUCUAUGGUGUUCCUUUCUGUCUGAUGGAACAGCCUUCACAGAAGAGAUGAUUCCAUGGAAUGUUCCCCGUGUUCUACCUCCUCUUGUUCUGACACCACAAAUUACUACCCUUGAUGUUCAAAUGGGAGUUGAUGGCUGCAAGCUUGACCCUGCAACAAUUCAUAAUGGAGAUUAUAAAGUGGAUGUCGGUCCCCAGCUAAUCACUGUAAAAAAUUCCUGUGGGAGCUGAUGGUGGAUAUUACAAGAGCCAUGUAUUGGACAGCACCUAUAAUAUCUUACUUGAUUGAACCAAUGCUGGAGCAUACCUGGCAAGAUGGGCCUGAGAAGACCAAGUACACAAAACUUCAUCCAAUAACCACUCCUUUCAUGCCUCUGCCACCAGUUGUCACAAACAAUACUGUUCCUAAAGCCAGAGUGUUCAAUGUGACCCUGGGGACAUUCCUGCCUGAUGUGGAGCUGGUCAAAAUUCUAGUUGGACCAGAGACUUUAACUGUGCCAGAAGCCAACCUUAACGGUUAUGUCCAGGAACAUGUCUUCCCCAAUGGAUCCAAGACCUACACUCUCCAGGUGCCAUUUGAGGACCCCAAUGUAAAGCAAAAGGUAACUCCUCCAGACACCAGAACCUACAUUCUGCCCCUGACCUACUUGCUGAAUAUAGUGCCAGAGAAUACACCCUUUACUCAUCCUGCUGUAGUCGAAGCCAUUCUCCAAGACAUCAUUCCACCUACAGUAACUGGCUACUGUGAUGGUGCUGCACUCUAUAUGGCAACAUGGGUCGCAACUGGAUUCCUUAUGUGGGCUCAAGAGAACUUGGUGGAAGUCUGCUUGCCCUGUACAAGUAUAAUGCCAAUUUGUCCAAUUUCUGGAUGACUGCCAUACAAUUCAAUUGAUGCCACAUAUGAAGUGAUCAAUUCUUCAGGCAUCAGAAGCAGGCUUGACUUGACCUUGAAGGAUAUUGAGACCAUGGUUGUGGUGGCUGACUUCUCUCUGUCCUGCAGUUUCCCUACAAAGAUGAUUGAUUGCUUCACAAUGGAACUAUGGCAGCUCUUGCUGUGAAAGUGGAAUCUGUCCCCAGCUUGUCUCCAAGUCAACUAAAUCUAAGGGAUCCGAGUUGCCGGCCUCUUCAGUCUGAUGCUAUCAAUGCGGUUUUCUACUUCAAUGUCAAUUC